rfam:Otolemur garnettii contig077454, whole genome shotgun sequence.
GCCAGGCGUUGUGGCGGGCGCCUGUGGUCCCAGCUACUUGGGAGGCGGAGGCAGGAGACUCGCUUGAGCCCAGGAGUUGGAGGUUGCUGUGAGCUGUAAUGCCACGGCACUCUGCCCAGGGGGACAGCUUGAGGCUCUGUCUCAAAAAAAAAAAAAAUGUGAAGUAUUUAAUACGCAGUAUAAAAGAGAAUAUUGUUUUCACAAUCCUAAAACAACUGCAUCAAUCCUAUUUUUUUUUUUUUUUUUUUUUUGAGACAGAGCCUCAAGCUGUCCCCCUGGGCAGAGUGCCGUGGCAUUACAGCUCACAGCAACCUCCAAGUCCUGGGCUCAAGCGAGUCUCCUGCCUCCGC